rnacentral:snoRNA from 1 species
CUGCAGCCAAUUAAGCCGACCAUCCCCCUCUCCCUGUGGGGGCCCGGUGUGUAGUAGCAGGCUCCUUGGUAGUGUACACAGCCUGUUGCUUGUAUGGGUUGCCCUUGGAGAUGGCC